UCUCAGUCGAAAACAAUGGCGUCUUCUUCAGCGACGCUCUCUCUCUGCUCUACUUUCUCUGCUCAUUGCAAUGUCAAUUCUCGCCGUUCUAGCACUAUCCUCUGUUCUCUCUCUAAACCUUCGCUUAAUUUGGCUAAACCUCUGACUGGAUUUCUUUCUCCUUCCACUGCGUCGACGUCUCGAACCGCAUUCACCGUCGCUCCGAAAUUCGCGGAAUCAGUCGUCGAAGCUGAACCGGA
rnacentral:lncRNA from 1 species